CUUCAACAAUGGCGGCCAAGAAGACACUCCGUAACCCAGAGCUAAUUCGCGGCGUGGGUAAGUUCUCACGUUCCAAAAUGUACCACAAAAAGGGUUUAUGGGCAAUCAAGAAGAAAAACGGUGGAAAAUUCCCUCAACACCAGAAAAAACCAAUCUCAGCUCCACCAGCUGAGAAAUCCCCAAAGUUCUACCCUGCUGAUGACGUGAAAAAACCCCUUGUAAACAAGCACAAACCAAAACCCACGAAGCUAAGAGCGAGUAUUUCUCCAGGGACAGUGUUGAUUAUCCUUGCUGGUAGGUUUAAGGGGAAGAGAGUUGUGUUCUUGAAACAGCUUUUAUCUGGGUUGCUUCUUGUUACUGGGCCUUUUAAGCUUAAUGGGGUUCCUUUAAGACGUGUUAAUCAAGCUUAUGUGAUCGGUACUUCAACGAAAGUUGAUGUUAGUGGAGUGAAUGUUGAGAAGAUUGAUGAUAAGUAUUUUGCUAAGGAAGCUGAGAAGAAGCAGAAAAAGGGUGAAGGGGAGUUUUUUGAAGAGAAGAAAGAGGAGAAGAAUGAGCUUCCACAGGAAAAGAAAGAUGCCCAGAAAGCCGUAGAUGCAUCAUUGAUUAAGGCCAUUGAGGCUGUUCCUGAUUUGAAGGGUUAUUUAUCUGCAAGGUUUUUACUGAAGUCAGGCAUGAAACCACAUGAGCUAGUGUUUUAGGCUACUAUUGGCACAAUACUCUUGUUUGUUGAAUUGACCUUGUUUAUCUCUCUGUGUUCUCUUUGAAAAGAGUUUGAUUGUUCACAUGAAAAGUUUUGUUGAUGAGAAUCAUCUUAGAUAGAAGUAUGCAAUAUGAGAUUUCCCCGUCGGAACUAUUUAUUCUUUUAUUACAAUCUUAA
rnacentral:misc_RNA from 1 species